UGCAUGCACUACUGUAAGUUGCUCUGCAUAAGAGCGUCUGCUAAAUAAAUGUAA
rfam:Salmo salar isolate Sally breed double haploid chromosome ssa12, whole genome shotgun sequence.